UACGUAGGGUGCAAGCGUUAAUCGGAAUUACUGGGCGUAAAGCGUGCGCAGGCGGCUUUGCAAGACAGAUGUGAAAGCCCCGGGCUUAACCCGGGAAUGGCAUUGGAUACUGCAGAUCUGGAGGUUCGGAGGGGGGACUGGAAUUCUUGGUGUAGCAGUGAAAUGCGUAGAUAUCAAGAGGAACACCAGUGGCGAAGGCGAGUCCCUGGACGACACCUGACACUGAGGCACGAAGGCUAGGGGAGCAAACAGG
rnacentral:rRNA from 1 species